rnacentral:rRNA from 1 species
CGAACGCUGGCGGCGUGCUUAACACAUGCAAGUCGAACGGAAAGGCCCUGCUUUUGUGGGGUGCUCGCGUGGCGAACGGGUGAGUAACACGUGAGUAACCUGCCCUUGACUUUGUGAUAACUUCAGGAAACUGGGGCUAAUACCGGAUAUGAGCUCCUGCUGCAUGGUGGGGGUUGGAAAGUUUCGGCGGUUGGGGAUGGACUCGCGGCUUAUCAGCUUGUUGGUGGGGUAGUGGCUUACCAAGGCUUUGACGGGUAGCCGGCCUGAGAGGGUGACCGGCCACAUUGGGACUGAGAUACGGCCCAGACUCCUACGGGAGGCAGCAGUGGGGAAUAUUGCACAAUGGGCGGAAGCCUGAUGCAGCAACGCCGCGUGCGGGAUGACGGCCUUCGGGUUGUAAACCGCUUUCGCCUGUGACGAAGCGUGAGUGACGGUAAUGGGUAAAGAAGCACCGGCUAACUACGUG